GCGGAAGUCUGUAGAGUGGGCGUGGUUAAAGGUCUGACGAGCGAACAAACUGGUACUCCGAGUGAGAAUAGGCAAAUUGGACUGAAAGUCUGAAGUACUGAUGGCCUAUUCCCGGAAGGAGCUGUAAGUCUGCACCGUGUGAAAUCCUGUGGUGCAAACCUGGAUAUAGAAGACAGAAGUUAGGGUCUAGCGGGACCUGAAAACUAACCUCAUCAGAUUCUGCGCGAGGCAUCCUGAGAGAGUCAGCAGACAGCCGCUUAGCGGGAGAAUCGCAUUUGCUGGCCCUGGAACCUCCCAGGUCAGAGGAGCUGGGGGACUGGAAAACAAGGGUCAUGAUUGAAGGCGAUACUUGUCGGACCCGUAGAAUGACAGAGAAAAACUGAGUCGAGUCUACAUAAGCUGGAAAGAGUGAGUCAGAUGGCCACCUAAAGGCUGGCGGGUUACCUUGUCCUGAUUCUCUCUUGAUCCCCGAAAACUCUCCUCAGACACAGUUUCCUGGCUGCCGGCCUGUGAGACUCAGCAGCACAGCAUAGGGAACUUGAGCCUGGGGGCCCUGGAUCCUACAAAGCUGCUUCGCCAGGGGAAAGGACCAGGGUGCAAUCAGUUUUCUCUGCUGUUUAUGAAGAAGCAGACAUUGAAACUCUGCUGUGGAUGUCUUACUGAUGAAUUUUAGAUGACUUAAACUAGACUAGUCCCAAUUAUAUUUUUUUUUCAUCAAUCUUGUGGGUGCCAAAAUGUUCUUCUUAAAAUGCUAGGAAGAUUGUGACCUCUAAGGGGAUAGGAACUCCACAAGAAGACCAACAAAAUCAUCUAACUUGGAAGCUUGGUGCUCUCAGAGACUGAACCACCAACCAAAGAACUUAGACUGUCUGGAUCUAAGUCUCCCUGGUCAUAUGUGCACAUAUGAAGCUUUGUCUUAAUCUGGGUCCCGACCAACUGGAGCAGGGCCUAUGUCAAAAGCUGUUGCCUACAUGUGGAAUAUGUUCAGUGCUGGGGGACCGGGGGAUACCCAGAGGGGCCCCACUCACUCAGAGUAGAAAGGGGGGAAUGGGAAAAGGAUUGUGGGAGUGGGUGGGUGACCCAGAGGAGGGCAGUUAGUAAUGUGUAAAGUGAGUAAGGAAAAAAACUAUUAUAUUUGUUAAGGUGAAAAGGACAAAACUGUUGAAAUUUACAUUUUUUUCACAUUAACUCCCCUGUAAUACCCGGGGACUUACUUGGUAAUUGAGCAUCCCAGGAGAGCUUUUAGAUAGUAGUCAUGAAAGGAGUGGCUGCAAAUGUAAGGGAGUCCAAAAGUGUGCACUAGCACAACUGUCCACACUCUUUUAUUUUGUGGUCAUUUGACAGUGUGAACUUGUUCCAGAAGAAGGGGCAAUGCCUGGACCCUGCUCAGAAGGUUUUGUACAGAGACUGCAUGUCACAGAAUUAAAGCGGUCAGAUUUCAGUGAGUGAGGAUACUUUGUUUGCUAUCUCCCUCUGUCCACCUCAGGGUCCUGGGAAAACAACUGUUAUCUAUGUUCCUGUGUAACUGCGUCUUGUAUCUCACAGAAUGAAGUGAAAUCCUCGGAGGAAUGACAAAAAUUUUCAUAAAAUAUUCAAACGUCUUGUGAAUCUCUUUGAGAGGUAUAAGGCUUCUAGUAUGUUUGAUCCAUGAUAAAUUCAGAACCUCACUACUGUAUAGUGCUGUCAUCCCAAUCAUUCAGUUUGGUUUGUCCCCGUCAGUUUUUUACUAACCUGUGAUUGGGUAUGGGCUUCCAGUUAAGGCUAAAUGAAAAUGAAUUCAAAGUAUCUUCAGUAUUGGAGGAUCACUUUUGAAUCCUCUCUAUCUCCUGAGCACUACUGUGUUAGCCAUCCAGAUGCUUUCUGAUGAAUCUCAUGCACAUGUGCAGGGCUCACUGAUCACCCAGACCUGCUCACCUGUGGAGCAAAACAGAAACCUGGAAGGUGGAGAGGGAGGAGACAGUAGCUAAGGAUCCAGAUUCAAUUUUACAUAUAGAGCGAAACAAAAUUCAAGAUCCCAGGACCUGGGAAGCUGGAGACCUACUGGAAGCAGACUAACUCCCUCUCUAAGAAGGAAUGGUUCCCCAAAUUUUCAUGGCUGUUCCUAACAACAGAAAGAAGCAAGCCAGCUAUUUAUCCUUAUUGAAAGAUAAAGAAGAGAAACAACGGGAAAUGCCUGAUUCUCCAGGAAAUAUGUCCCAGGGUCAGUUGACAUUCUGGGAUGUGGCUGUGGACUUCUCCCAGGAGGAGUGGGAAUGCCUGGACUCUGCCCAGAGGGCUUUGUACAUGGAUGUGAUGUUGGAGAAUUAUACCAACCUCAUCUCUGUGGAGAACUGCAUAAAUGAUAGUCUCCAGGAAAACCUAAAGGCUAAAAAAGAGUCUUGUCAGUGUAAUGAGCUUGGCAAAGUGCUUCAUGAACCCUCCCACUGUGCAUGUUAUAAAACAAGUAAAACCACAGAAAACUCUAAUAACUACAGAUACAGUAAUGACAGAGAUGCCUCUGUUGAUUCAUCAAACCCAGAUAGACUUAAAAGCAUGCACAAUGGAGGAGUGUCUUGCAAAUCUGAAGACUGUAAGAAAUCUUUAAAUAUGUGGCCCAUCAUUACUCAAGAACAGAGACUCUACACAUCAAAGAAAGAGCACAGACAAGAAGAAUAUGGUGACAUUUUUGGUUCAACGUGUAGUCUUUUAAAACAAGCAGUCUACAUUGUAGAGAAACCAAAACAAUGUGUGGAAUGUGGGAAACACUUCAGUGCUGCCUCAAGCCUCACUGUACACAAGAGAAUUCACACUGGAAAGAAAAACUACAAAUGCAAUAUUUGUGACAAGUCCUUUACCCAGUGCAUACAUCUUAAAAUACAUCAAAGGCGUCAUACUGGGGAGAAACCUUACAAAUGUAAGGAUUGCGACAAAUCCUUUACUGUGAAGUCAACUCUCACAAAACAUCAGCGAAUUCAUACUGGACAGAAACCCUAUAAGUGCAAUAUUUGUGACAAAUCCUUUACCCAGUGCUCAAGUCUUAAAACACAUCAAAGACUUCAUACUGGUGAGAAACCUUACAAAUGCAAAGAAUGUGGAAAGACAUUUCCCCAGCUAUCAGCCUUUAAAAGUCAUCAGAAAAUGCAUACUGACAAAAGACAUUCUGGAGAAAAGCUUUACAAAUGCCAUUAAUGUGACAACCUGUAGACACUGUCCAUCAUUUAGAAGGCAUCAGAAAAUUCAUUCUUUAGAAAAGUUAAACAAAUGCAAAGAAUGUGGUAAGUCCUUUUCUUGAAUUAUCACAUCUUAAAACACAUUCCAGAAUCCAUACUGCUGAGAAGCCUUACAAAUGUGAAGUAUGUAACCAAUACUUUACAAGAGACUCGACUCUUUGGACAUAUCAAAAAAUUCAUACUGGAGAGAAACCUUACAGAUGUAUAGAAUGUGACAAAGCCUUUACCCAGGAUUCACAUCUUAGAAGACAUCAUAGAGUUCAAACUGGAGAGAAAUCUUUUGUAUGCAAGGAAUAUAAUAAAUCAUUUUCUAAGUGCUCACCUCUUAGAAAACAUCAGACAAUUCAUUCUGGAGAAAAAAGUUACAAAUGCAAAGACUAUGACAAAUCCUUUACCCAGUAUUCAAAUUUGAGAAAACAUCGGAGAGUUCAAACUGAAGUAAGGCAUCACUUCUGUAAGGAAUGUGGCAAAUUCUUUACUAGGAGCUCAUAUCUUAGAAUAUAUCAGAAAAUUCAUACUGGAGAGAAACCUUACAAAUGCAAAGACUGUGGCAAAUUUUUAUCCAGCUUUCAAAUCUUAGAACACAUUGCAGAGUUCAUACUAAAGAGAGAUCUUGCAUAUGUAAGGAAUGUGGUUAACCUUUUACUAAUUACUCAACUCAUUGAGUCCAACAGAAAAUUACUACUGGAGAGAAUAAUACUGUUUUAAAUAAUAUGACAUAACAUUUAUUUUGUAUUCUUUGCUUACAAAUCACAAUAGUAUACAUAAUGUAAACCUAAGGAAUUUGUGAAAGCGUUUCAAAAAGUUUUAAAUGUUAGAAGAAUAUAAUAGAGUUUAUAUUAAAUAAAAUUCUGCAAAUGUAACUGUAUGAAAAA